UGCCAGAAAAUUGUGAUGUGAUACUUCCAAGCACAUAUCUGACUGCUUUUUUGUGGAAACAUGAUUAUUUCUGAGUUUUCUGGAC
rnacentral:snoRNA from 1 species